rnacentral:rRNA from 1 species
AUUGCCCCAGUAACGGCGAGUGAAGCGGCAACAGCUCAAAUUNGAAAUCUGGUCCCCAGGGCCCGAGUUGUAAUUUGCAGAGGAUGCUUUUGGUGAGGUGCCUUCCGAGUUCCCUGGAACGGGACGCCAUAGAGGGUGAGAGCCCCGUCUGGUUGGAUACCGAGCCUCUGUAAAGCUCCUUCGACGAGUCGAGUAGUUUGGGAAUGCUGCUCUAAAUGGGAGGUAUAUGUCUUCUAAAGCUAAAUAUUGGCCAGAGACCGAUAGCGCACAAGUAGAGUGAUCGAAAGAUGAAAAGCACUUUGAAAAGAGGGUUAAAUAGUACGUGAAAUUGUUGAAAGGGAAGCACUUAUGACCAGACUUGGCCCCGGUGAAUCAUCCAGCGGUCCCCGCUGGUGCACUUUGCCGGGGUUCAGGCCAGCAUCAGUUCGCUCCGGGGGAUAAAGGCUUUGGGAAUGUGGCUCCCUCGGGAGUGUUAUAGCCCAUUGCGUAAUACCUUGUGGCGGGCUGAGGUUCGCGCUUUAUGCAAGGAUGCUGGCAUAAUGGUCAUCAGUGACCCGUCUUGAAACACGGACCAAGGAGUCGUCUUCGUAUGCGAGUGUUCGGGUGUUAAACCCCUACGCGUAAUGAAAGUGAACGCAGGUGAGAGCCCUCCAGGGCGCAUCAUCGACCGAUCCUGAUGUUCUCGGAUGGAUUUGAGUAAGAGCAUACGGGGCCGGACCCGAAAGAAGGUGAACUAUGCCUGUAUAGGGUGAAGCCAGAGGAAACUCUGGUGGAGGCUCGCAGCGGUUCUGACGUGCAAAUCGAUCGUCAAAUAUGGGCAUGGGGGCGAAAGACUAAUCGA